GAGGGAAACCGAGUCUUAACCGGGCGUUAAGUUGCAGGGUAUAGACCCGAAACCCGGUGAUCUAGCCAUGGGCAGGUUGAAGGUUGGGUAACACUAACUGGAGGACCGAACCGACUAAUGUUGAAAAAUUAGCGGAUGACCUGUGGCUGGGGGUGAAAGGCCAAUCAAACCGGGAGAUAGCUGGUUCUCCCCGAAAGCUAUUUAGGUAGCGCCUCGUGAAUUCAUCUCCGGGGGUAGAGCACUGUUUCGGCUAGGGGGCCAUCCCGGCUUACCAACCCGAUGCAAACUGCGAAUACCGGAGAAUGUUAUCACGGGAGACACACGGCGGGUGCUAACGUCCGUCGUGAAGAGGGAAACAACCCAGACCGCCAGCUAAGGUCCCAAAGUCAUGGUUAAGUGGGAAACGAUGUGGGAAGGCCCAGACAGCCAGGAUGUUGGCUUAGAAGCAGCCAUCAUUUAAAGAAAGCGUAAUAGCUCACUGGUCGAGUCGGCCUGCGCGGAAGAUGUAACGGGGCUAAACCAUGCACCGAAGCUGCGGCAGCGACGCUGAUGCGUUGUUGGGUAGGGGAGCGUUCUGUAAGCCUGCGAAGGUGGCCUGUGAGGGUUGCUGGAGGUAUCAGAAGUGCGAAUGCUGACAUAAGUAACGAUAAAGCGGGUGAAAAGCCCGCUCGCCGGAAGACCAAGGGUUCCUGUCCAACGUUAAUCGGGGCAGGGUGAGUCGACCCCUAAGGCGAGGCCGAAAGGCGUAGUCGAUGGGAAACGGGUUAAUAUUCCCGUACUUGGUGUUACUGCGAAGGGGGGACGGAGAAGGCUAUGUUGGCCGGGCGACGGUUGUCCCGGUUUAAGCGUGUAGGUGUGUGUUCCAGGUAAAUCCGGUU
rnacentral:rRNA from 1 species